GUACACUCCUACGGGAGGCAGCAGUGGGGAAUAUUGCACAAUGGGCGCAAGCCUGAUGCAGCCAUGCCGCGUGUAUGAAGAAGGCCUUCGGGUUGUAAAGUACUUUCAGCGGGGAGGAAGGCGAUAAGGUUAAUAACCUUGUCGAUUGACGUUACCCGCAGAAGAAGCACCGGCUAACUCCGUGCCAGCAGCCGCGGUAAUACGGAGGGUGCAAGCGUUAAUCGGAAUUACUGGGCGUAAAGCGCACGCAGGCGGUCUGUCAAGUCGGAUGUGAAAUCCCCGGGCUCAACCUGGGAACUGCAUUCGAAACUGGCAGGCUAGAGUCUUGUAGAGGGGGGUAGAAUUCCAGGUGUAGCGGUGAAAUGCGUAGAGAUCUGGAGGAAUACCGGUGGCGAAGGCGGCCCCCUGGACAAAGACUGACGCUCAGGUGCGAAAGCGUGGGGAGCAAACAGGAUUAGAAACCCCUGUAGUCCCAUGA
rnacentral:rRNA from 1 species